CCUACGGGCGGCUGCAGUCGAGAAUCAUUCACAAUGGGGGAAACCCUGAUGGUGCGACGCCGCGUGGGGGAAUGAAGGUCUUCGGAUUGUAAACCGCUGUCAUGUGGGAGCAAAUGAAAAAGAUAGUACCAGAAGAGGAAGAGACGGCUAACUCUGUGCCAGCAGCCGCGGUAAUACAGAGGUCUCAAGCGUUGUUCGUAAUCACUGGGCUGAAAGCGUGCGUAGGCUGUUUCGUAAGUCGUGUGUGAAAGGCCCGGGCUCAACCCGCGGACGGCACAUGAUACUGCGAGACUAGAGAAAUGGUGGGGGAACCGGAAUGCUCGGGGUAGCAGUGAAAUGCGUAGAGAUC
rnacentral:rRNA from 1 species